GGUGAGAGCAUGGCUGAGUGUAAGCAGACGCAUGCUGGACUGACAGAGGGCUGGCCCUGAACUCUAGUGGUGAAGGGAACACACACACACAGCCCGGCUUCUCUUCCACUAUCCAUGUCUGACCAGGCAGCCUCCUCCCAUCUUGGGGAGUUAAAGGCUGUGAAAAUGCAAAUAUUCAUAGAAAAGGGGACACACAUUAAUCCCACAUGUUAGCUGAGAGAUAACAUCCAAGAGUAAUGCCUGUUAUUAGCCAACAGGAAUGAAAAGCAUGCAGAGAAAGCAAUCCCGACACAAGCAAAGAUUCCAACCGUGGCUGCGGAGCACCCCCCUCACUCCCACCUGCUGUGUCGUCCACACCCCAGCCCCUUGCUCAAGCGCAGAAAGGCAGACUGCCACGUGCAGCGCCUCAUUUGGAUGUGUCUGGAGUCUUGGAAGCUUGACUACCCUACGUUCUCCUACAAACACAAGUUUUUUGAUUCCACCUUAAAAAAGAUAAAAAAAAAAAAAAAAAAAAAAAAAAACCCAAGGAAAAAAAAAAAAAAAACAGAGAAGGCGGCAAACCGGGACCACGUGAACUGCAGAUAUCAUGGUGGCAGAGACAAACACUUGUUAAGAUGCCAUCUGCCACUGCCCAAGACGAGGAUCGUCAGUAUCUGUAUUUCAUGGAGUGCCAUCAGGGCCAAAUAAAGGCAUUCCUGUGAAGUAGGUUCUCCACGGUGCAUGGCACAUUCUUAAGUGAUGAACAUAUUCAAUAAACCGGCCCUUGCUCUGAGCCAGUCUUACUCUGGGCACCAGCUGAUGAUGGUGAUCAGAGCAGAUGGUACAUCUUUCUCUAGAUGACAUCUUUAAGGCCCUGGACAGCAAGGUUCCUCGUAGAGGGC